CAACGUAGAUAACCUGCCUGUAUGACCGGGAUAACAGUUGGAAACGACUGCUAAUACCGGAUAGGCAGAGAGGAGGCAUCUCUUCUCUGUUAAAGUUGGGAUACAACGCAAACAGAUGGAUCUGCGGUGCAUUAGCUAGUUGGUGAGGUAACGGCCCACCAAGGCGAUGAUGCAUAGCCGGCCUGAGAGGGCGAACGGCCACAUUGGGACUGAGACACGGCCCAAACUCCUACGGGAGGCAGCAUG
rnacentral:rRNA from 1 species